rnacentral:rRNA from 1 species
GAAUAUUGGACAAUGGGCGAAAGCCUGAUCCAGCCAUGCCGCGUGUGUGAAGAAGGUCUUCGGAUUGUAAAGCACUUUAAGUUGGGAGGAAGGGCAGUAAGCGAAUACCUUGCUGCUUUGACGUUACCGACAGAAUAAGCACCGGCUAACUCUGUGCCAGCAGCCGCGGUAAUACAGAGGGUGCAAGCGUUAAUCGGAAUGACUGGGCGUAAAGCGCGCGUAGGCGGUUUGGUAAGUCGGUUGUGAAAGCCCCGGGCUUAACCUGGGAAUUGCAUUCGAUACUGCUUGACUAGAGUAUGGUAGAGGGAAGUGGAAUUUCCGGUGUAGCGGUGAAAUGCGUAGAUAUCGGAAGGAACACCAGUGGCGAAGGCGACUUCCUGGGCCAAUACUGACACUGAGGUGCGAAAGCGUGGGUAGCAAACAGG